rnacentral:rRNA from 1 species
AGAGUUUGAUCAUGGCUCAGAUUGAACGCUGGCGGCAGGCCUAACACAUGCAAGUCGAGCGGUAGAGAGGAGCUUGCUUCUCUUGAGAGCGGCGGACGGGUGAGUAAUGCCUAGGAAUCUGCCUAGUGGUGGGGGAUAACGUUCGGAAACGGACGCUAAUACCGCAUACGUCCUACGGGAGAAAGCGGGGGACCUUCGGGCCUCGCGCCAUUAGAUGAGCCUAGGUCGGAUUAGCUAGUUGGUGAGGUAACGGCUCACCAAGGCGACGAUCCGUAACUGGUCUGAGAGGAUGAUCAGUCACACUGGAACUGAGACACGGUCCAGACUCCUACGGGAGGCAGCAGUGGGGAAUAUUGGACAAUGGGCGCAAGCCUGAUCCAGCCAUGCCGCGUGUGUGAAGAAGGUCUUCGGAUUGUAAAGCACUUUAAGUUGGGAGGAAGGGCAGUAAGCGAAUACCUUGCUGUUUUGACGUUACCGACAGAAUAAGCACCGGCUAACUCUGUGCCAGCAGCCGCGGUAAUACAGAGGGUGCAAGCGUUAAUCGGAAUUACUGGGCGUAAAGCGCGCGUAGGUGGUUGGUUAAGUUGGAUGUGAAAGCCCCGGGCUCAACCUGGGAACUGCAUCCAAAACUGGGCGACUAGAGUACGGUAGAGGGUGGUGGAAUUUCCUGUGUAGCGGUGAAAUGCGUAGAUAUAGGAAGGAACACCAGUGGCGAAGCGACCACCUGGACUGAUACUGACACUGAGUGCGAAAGCGUGGGGAGCAACAGAUUAGAUACCCUGUAGUCCACGCCGUAACGAUGUCACUAGCGGUGGGAGUCUUGACUCUAUGGCGCCAGCUAACGCAUUAGUUGACCG